CUUAAACCACCUCUUGUCUCCAGCUUGAGCCUUGCAAAUGUACAGUUUUCCAUCUUUUACAGUUGCUCUAAUGAGUUGGUGCUUCCCACCUUCAUCUCCAUCAGCUGUUCUUGUCAACACAGUCAAAGAAUAGUACGGCUUCCCAUCAACCACAGUUGUUGAACUCUCUAAGAUGUUAGCCGUGGCAACAGCAUUUGGAUCAAAACCACCCUGGCCAAUUCAUGUUCAAAACUCAGUUAGGACAUGCAAUGCUGGUAUUCAGUGAUGUUCUUUUUCAUCAUCAAUCACUUACCUCAGCUUGAGUUUCGCCAAAGAAGGCCUGUUUUCCUAGUAAAUAAUCCACCUGCAAUGAGGAAAAACAGACUUUGAAUGUCAGCCAGCUAGUAGAAACUGGUGUCACUGCCUUCAAAAGUUCAUAGACUAUACCAUUUUUAUUUUUGGAUAUAUACUACAAAAGUUCAUCAAACUGAUCAUAGACUGCCAUUUUAUUUUAUUGAAAAAACUAGGAAAGUUAGAAUUAGCAAGGGAGAAACAACUUUUUAUCACUAAGUUUGGUCACUGAUUCAUUGAUUUUGUUGGAACAUGAAACAUGAAAGUGCAUUAAUGGGGCUAUAAGUGUUACUCAUAGUGAGAAAAUAGAAAGAGGUAGCACUAGUUUACAGAACAGAUUUACCUUAGAGAGAAAUUCUUCGGGUGAACCAUAGUCAGUGAUGGACUUCUUAUCAGUUGGAGUCACUGUGACAACGACAUUGCUGGUUGUAUCGAAAUUAUCCUCAUAUCUAAGAACCUGGCCUCUGUACUCAACCUCUUUGCUUGGGUUCCACUUUGAGGGAAUAGAUAAUUUGAAUCCAUCUCCAUUGUAUGGCUGGAAAUCUGUGUUUGUCUUUGGUUUUCCAAACACAUUGGCUGCAAGCAAAACAAUCAAGUUGCUCAAAUCAAUUAUGUCCCUCAUUAUUAAAGUGAUCAAAUCCAUUUAUGUUCCCCACCCAACCACUUCAACUCAUGAGACAAACUUCAUGGCCAAAUGGAUAAUUCACUGAAGAGUCUAUAAUCUUAGCCAACUCCAUUCUUUCAACUACAAUUUCUACACAAGGUUUGAGCAAGCUUUAUUCAUCACUAGCCUAACCAUCUUAGUUGAUUUGGUCAUCAACAUCCACCAUCCAAGCCUACCCUUGGAUUGUAUCCUAUAUGAUGAUCACUAAACUUAUUUCAUCUUAAACUCCACCAAGUACAAAAAAGUGGACAAUUGACAAAAUAUCACUAAAUCAAAAGAAGAUUAUAGUAACACUAGUCUAGUCACUAAGCAAGCAAUUGCAAGUAUUCAUUUGGGUGGUCCAUAAGUUGAAAUGGCACCAAAUAUAGCAUGUUUUCCUAAAACAUGACAUGAUUUUUUCUACGAGUGGACACUAUGAAGGAUCAUGAUCAUGCAAAUGAAUUUCAUAUAAAUUUCGGUAGACAUACACCUUACAUACAAGUUACAGCUUAACAUUUUUGGUCUUAUUCUCCAAUCAACUUCAAUUCUAGUAGAAACUAGCAUAAAAAACACUUAAACAACUCUAUCCAAGUGUUGUCCAUUUUAGUGGCAUCAUGGAUAUUGUUGCAUGAUGAAAAAAAAGAGAAAGUGAUAUACCAGCUUCACCAUAGGCUGCAUCUGCAGGUUGUACUUUGGAGCCAACAGCAGCAGCACCAAUGAGCACAGUUAGAGCUAACCGGCGAGAGAUAGGAGUGACAUCAUCCUCUUGGGGUGUUGUCUGUUUCUGUGCCUUGCACACAAGCUGGUUG
rnacentral:lncRNA from 1 species